AACGGAGUCUGCGAUACACGUAUUUGACAAAAUCCUCAUGAAAUCUCAGUCUCACGAGAAUCAUGAUUGUAUGCAUGGUCGGCGUAUAAAUAAACUUCUGAAUGUUGAAUUACAUGCACAUUUGACAAUUUUGGCGAUUAGUGUCACUGCUGAAAUUCCUGAGGCGUUUGCAGGUGACUCAUGGUUACCUAAAAUUUACAUGAAAGCAAGCAGUGGCGGCGGAACAGUUUUUAUUUAAGGUGGG